rnacentral:rRNA from 1 species
CCUACGGGAGGCAGCAGUGAGGAAUAUUGGUCAAUGGCCGGAAGGCUGAACCAGCCAUGCCGCGUGAAGGUCAGUGCCCUAUGGGCGUUACACUUCUUUUGUGCGUGAGCAAUAAUGGUCACGUGUGGCCCGACGAGAGUACCGUACGAAUAAGCAUCGGCUAACUCCGUGCCAGCAGCCGCGGUAAUACGGGGGAUGCAAGCGUUAUCCGGAUUUAUUGGGUUUAAAGGGUGCGUAGGCUGUGAGGUAAGUCAGCGGUGAAAUGCCCCCGCUCAACGGGGUGAAGUGCCAUUGAUACUGGCGUGCUGGAAUGCGGAUGCCGUGGGAGGAAUGUGUGGUGUAGCGGUGAAAUGCAUAGAUAUCACACAGAACACCGAUUGCGAAGGCAUCUCACGAAGCCGCGAUUGACGCUGAUGCACGAAAGCGUGGGUAUCAAACAGGAUUAGAUACCCGAGUAGUC